UCCACAAUCAGCAACUGCUGAUGACUGAAAGAUCCUUUUAAGUGACUGAAGUUUACUUUUCUGAGCUAUUAUUCUAUUAGCGAUAUUAAAACACCCACAAAUGUUUUUACUUCAAAAAUGUUUUUAAGCAGGGCAUGGUGCCGGAACUUGGGAAACAAAGACAGGUAGAUCGCUAUGUGUUUGAGGCUGGCCUGGAUUACACAGUGAGUUCUAGGACAGCCUGAGCUACAUAGUAAGAUCAUGUCUCAUAAAACAAAACCACAAGAAAUGUUUUUUAAAAGCUAUGAAGACAGCUGAUGGCACUAUCAAUACAAAAAUACAGUAACAUUAUUUAUUUGUGUAUUGUAGUAGAGAAUAAGAAAUAAAGUAUCAGUUUAUAACACUUACGUAAUCACUUCUGUAUCUCAGCCUUCCUUUGAAAUGAAGACCCACAGUGGUCAGUGUUCAGUUCCUGCACCAAUGCUGGUGUACUUAAAGGCCGAAAGCCACUUUGUAGUGCUCAAUAAACUAAGAAUAAAGAUUCCCCCAAGAGCUGCUUAAUGGAGAGCAGAACUGGCAGCAUUAGUUACCAGCAAUCUGUUUUGGCAGGAUGUAAAUAAUUAGCAAGGUUGUUUCCAUGCUUUUAGAAGGAAAAAUUACAAUGAUAGUUUUAAAUCACUACUUUCAAAUAAACAUCACUCAUCAUAUCUGGCACCUCAAUUGAUCCACUUAAAGAUGAUCCCUGGAAUUAAGUACUGUUUUACACAAAUAGAAGAGAGAUAUAAAAACAUAAAAUGUGUGCUUUAGGAUAUACACUCUUCAGAUUCAAUGAAAAUAAUUUCAGUUUCAGGUUUUUUAUAUGGAGCAUGCAAUCAAAUCAUCUGUUUAACACCAUUAUUAGAAAGAGCUUUAAAGUUAGACUCUUGUUCACAUUCUAUUGUUGAAAUGCACUAAAAAUGUAAAUUGUUCCAAACAGUGGUUGGCAAAUACAAGAGAUUGUACAAGUUUAAAAAUUAUUGAGAAAAAUUAAACCUAUAAACCAUUGGAUGUCUAAUUUUUUUUAACAUUAAAAUUAAAGAAGUUAAUAAUAAGUAUAUUUAUGUUUUCUACAUUUUUUCUUACACCAAUUAACUUAAAUCUAUGAAAACUAAAAAAAUGGAUGCAGGGAGUGUGUUAGGACCAGAAGAGUGGACUAGCCAAGAGGCACUAAUCUUUUUUCCCUUUUCUUUUCUCAAUGCUUGAGCUGCUGAUAAUCGUGAUGGAUGCUGCAAGCUGGGAGACAACAUGUUGUGGAAAAUGGAGUCUAUGUCUGCGUGUGGAGACAGCAUUGGACUCUGGGGACCAUGUUGCCUGUGCCUGAUCAGAAGCUAGCUGCCUGUGCAUCCAAUGACUUCCUUCAUGUUCCCUCUCCACCACACAAGAUCUGACCAACUGUCGUCUCAGCUAAGGUUUCUGAAGACCUCCACCUGGCCACCAGAGUAAACUCUCACUAUUCUCAGCAUGUUUAUGAGACAUCUUCUACAUGUUUAGCAUAUGAUAAACAAGGAACAACUAAAUUUCAGAAGACUUAUUAGCACCAUUAGAUGAAUUAUGGAGUAUGAUUGGUAUUGAAAUCAACUAAUCCUUUUUAGUUUGUGGCCCUUUACUGGGGAAGAUGGCUGUGUCGGAUUGUAUUUGAGUCCAACAUCUUGUUUCCGAUGAUAUCUAUCAACACCCUCACCAUUGUUUUUAAUUGAAGAAUUAAUACUUCAUCAAAAAUUUUCCUUUUGGCUGUAAAAUUUUGAUUCAGCAGUAAAGUCGGGUUUAUUCAUUUGGAGAACAGGAAUUUUUUUUUUCUGCUCCAUGCCAAGUCUAGAGUGUGUAGGGCAGUAGAUAUUUAUUGCUUUUCAAACAUCAUUAUUUUUUCCAUUCACACAUCCAGUGAGAACUGUGAGCUUUGUAAGCAGAUUUAUGACUGACAAAAAAGAAAUACAGUGAUAAAUUCAUUAA